rnacentral:rRNA from 1 species
UACGAAGGGGGCUAGCGUUGCUCGGAAUCACUGGGCGUAAAGCGCACGUAGGCGGGUCUUUAAGUCGGAGGUGAAAUCCUGGAGCUCAACUCCAGAACUGCCUUCGAUACUGAGGAUCUCGAGUCCGGGAGAGGUGAGUGGAACUGCGAGUGUAGAGGUGAAAUUCGUAGAUAUUCGCAAGAACACCAGUGGCGAAGGCGGACUCACUGGCCCGGUACUGACGCUGAGGUG